GGGGCUAACUGCUUCCAAGGGUAACGGUAGUCCCACUGCAUUGGAACAAAAUUAAAUGGCCGCGGUAUAUUGACCGUGCAAAGGUAGCAUAAUCGUUAGUUUUUUAAUUGGAAUCUUGUAUGAAUGGUUGGACAAAAGAAAAUCUGUCUUUAUAUUAUUAAUUGAAUUUAACUUUUAAGUGAAAAGGCUUAAAUGGAUUAAAGUGACGAUAAGACCCUAUAAAGCUUUAUAUAGAUAUAUUAUUUAAUUAAAUUUUUAAUAAAAAUUUAGUAGUAAAAUUUAUUUUAUUGGGGCGAUAAGAGUAAAAUUUUUAUUAACUGCUUUAAGUUUUGAAUACAUUUAUGUUUGAUUAAAAUUUUAAAUGAUCCUAAAUAAAGAUUAAAAGUUUAAGUUACUUUAGGGAUAACAGCGUUAUUUUUUUUGAGAGUACUUAUCGAAAAAAAAGUUUGCGACCUCGAUGUUGAAUUAAAAUUUCUUUAUAAUUGCAGAAGUUAUAAAAGUAGGUCUGUUCGACCUUUAAAAUUUUACAUGAUCUGAUUCAGACCCGGA
rnacentral:rRNA from 1 species